UGUCAAAUUAGUAGCAAAGCUAACUUGUGAAACGCAUCACACUCAGUUAGCUAUAGAUAGCUAUAGCUGUUCUCUCAGCCAAAAGUGUUUUCAUUCAUUUCAUGUUCUAGCUUUUAAACAUUCUUCAAAUAAAACAGAAAUUCAGUGAA